rnacentral:piRNA from 1 species
UAGGUGAAGUAUACCUUCAAU